AGCAGCCGCGGUAAUUCCAGCUCCAAUAGCGUAUAUUAAAGUUGUUGCAGUUAAAAAGACUCGUAGUUGAAUUUCGGGAUCAAUAUGUUGGUCGUGCCUCGGUACGUACUAGCAUAUUGGUUUCUCCUUUCUGAAGAACCAUGAUGUCAUUUAUUUGGUGUCGUGGGGAAUCGGGACUGUUACUUUGAAAAAAUUAGAGUGUUUAAAGCAGGCUCACGCUUGAAUACAUUAGCAUGGAAUAAUGAAAUAGGACGUUUGAUUCUAUUUUGUUGGUUUUAGGAUCGACGUAAUGAUUAAUAGGGAUAGUUGGGGGCAUUAGUAUUCAAUUGUCAGAGGUGAAAUUCUUGGAUUUAUUGAAGACUAACUACUGCGAAAGCAUUUGCCAAGGAUGUUUUCAUUAAUCAAGAACGAAAGUUAGGGGAUCGAAGACGAUCAGAUACCGUCGUAGUCUUAACCGUAAACUAUGCCGACUAGGGAUCGGAUGAUGUAAUUUUUUAAUGAUCA
rnacentral:rRNA from 1 species